AGCAGCCGCGGUAAUUCCAGCUCCAAUAGCGUAUAUUAAAGUUGUUGCAGUUAAAAAGCUCGUAGUUGAAUUUCGGGAUCAGUUCGUCGGUCGUGCCUUUGGUAUGUACUGGUGUUACUGGUUCCUCCCUUCUGACGAACCGUCAUGUCAUUAAUUUGGUGUGGCGGGAAAUCAGGACUGUUACUUUGAAAAAAUUAGAGUGUUUAAAGCAGGCUCGCGCUUGAAUACAUUAGCAUGGAAUAAUGAAAUAGGACGUUCGAUCCUAUUUUGUUGGUUUCUAGGAUUGACGUAAUGAUUAAUAGGGAUAGUUGGGGGCAUUAGUAUUCAAUUGUCAGAGGUGAAAUUCUUGGAUUUAUUGAAGACUAACUACUGCGAAAGCAUUUGCCAAGGAUGUUUUCAUUAAUCAAGAACGAAAGUUAGGGGAUCGAAGGCGAUCAGAUACCGUCGUAGUCUUAACCAUAAACUAUGCCGACUAGGGAUCGGAUGAUGUUAAUUUUUAAUGUACUCAUUC
rnacentral:rRNA from 1 species